rnacentral:rRNA from 1 species
UACGUAGGGGGGCAAGCGUUGUCCGGAUUUAUUGGGCGUAAAGAGCGUGUAGGCGGCCAGGGAGGUCCGUUGUGAAAACUCGAGGCUCAACCUCGAGACGCCGAUGGAAACCCCCUGGCUAGAGUCCGGAAGAGGAGAGUGGAAUUCCUGGUGUAGCGGUGAAAUGCGCAGAUAUCAGGAAGAACACCCGUGGCUAAGGCGGCUCCUCUAGUACGGUACUGACGCUGAGACGCGAAAGCGUGGGGAGCGAACAGG